GAAAUGCGAUAAGUAAUGUGGAUUGCAGAAUUCAGUGAAUCAUCGAAUCUUUGAACGCACAUUGCGCUCGCCAGUAUUCUGGCGAGCAUGCCUGUUCGAGCGUCAUUUCAACCAUCAAGCUCUGCUUGCGUUGGGGAUCCGCGGCUGCCCGCGGUCCCUCAAAAACAGUGGCGGGCUCGCUAGUCACACCGAGCGUAGUAACUCUACAUCGCUAUGGUCGUGCGGCGGGUUCUUGCCGUAAAACCCCCAAUUUCUAAGGUUGACCUCGGAUCAGGUAGGAAUACCCGCUGAACUUAAGC
rnacentral:misc_RNA from 1 species